GAUGAACGCUAGGGGCAUGCUUAACACAUGCAAGUCGAACGAUUUUUUUUUUUCGUAAGAAAAAAAAGGAAAGUGGCGGACGGGUGAGUAACGCGUAAGAACUUACCCCUAGGAGGGGAAUAACUGCUAGAAAUGGUAGGUAAUACCCCAUAAGCUGAGGAGUAAAAUGGAGUAUUCCGCCUAGGGAUAGGCUUGCGUCUGAUUAGCUAGUUGGUAAAGUAAUGGUUUACCAAGGCAACGAUCAGUAGCUGGUCUGAGAGGAUGAUCAGCCACACUGGGACUGAGACACGGCCCAGACUCCUACGGGAGGCAGCAGUGGGGAAUAUUGGACAAUGGGCGCAAGCCUGAUCCAGCCAUGCCGCGUGAGUGAUGAAGGCCUUAGGGUUGUAAAGCUCUUUCACCUGGGAAGAUAAUGACGGUACCAGGAGAAGAAGCCCCGGCUAACUUCGUGCCAGCCGCCGC
rnacentral:rRNA from 1 species